rnacentral:pre_miRNA from 1 species
CAAAUACUCCCUCCAUCCGGAAAUACUUGUCAUCAAAAUGGAUAAAAGGAAAUGUAUCUAGACGUAUUUUAGUUUUAGAUACAUCUCUUUUUAUCCAUUUUGAUGACAAGUAUUUUCGGACGGAGGGAGUAGAGA